UGGAUUAAAUGUUUUUCACUUUUGAUAAAAGUCUCAUCAACAACGAGAAUUUGCGCGUGAAUCAAAACGACGCCAUUUUACAGGACGCCAUAUUGGCGACAAGAAUCUCAGUUCCAUAGGUAUUGUAAUUGACAUAUAUUUUACAAUAGAUUUCUUUUAUUUUUCAUAUACAUACGUGUUACCUAUAGGGAGAGCUUCGCUCUCACGGGCCCUUCGGGCCCGUGAGAGGGCUCCGCCCUCUAUUAUGCAAUAUAUUUUAUCAUGUUUAAAUUCUGCAACUACAAUGUUUUGUAAAACCGCGCAUUUCCAGCAUGCGAUAGGCAUAGGCCAGUUCAGCUAACAUGUUAAAGUUACGCAUUUAAUUUUGUAUGAUUGCUUAUGAUUUUGAUAUUUUGUCAAAUUCUUAUUAUGCUUUUGUAAUUUGUAGUUUUUCACCCUCUCACAAGGUGUGUCCAAUAAACAGUACAGUCACUGAUCUUUGUCAACUUUUUAAGAAAAUAACAGAAUAUGAAGAAGGAAGACUAUAUAUAGGAUCGAUCUACUUCAUAACUGGAAAAAGAGAAGCAGUUCACAAAUGUUGAUGAGCAGAAGACAAGAAACUCUGGCUGCACAAAAAUCUGAGCUCUUGAAAAAGAAAGAAAGAAAAGGAUCCAAAUGAUGAAAUUCGGGAAAUUCCACAUGGAGAGACAAUAAGGAUUUUUGAAUUGACCAUCUCUGCUCAAACUGCUUGAAAGUACUGAAAACUGUUACCCUUGUGCUGAACAAACUUUUCUCCUAGACUGGAAUUAAAAACUGUUCAAUUUCUGGCAUUAAAACACAAUUUGAAACAUGCUGAGGAAGAAUCCCCCUCUCCUUUUGACCAAGUAAGGUUAAACAUUCUGCAAAGAGUUGCAUUUGAAUUGAAAUUUUUUUUAUACUUUUACCAGGAAUGAACUACAUUACUCAUUUACUAUGGUUUAAUGUGUCAGAAUUGUCUAUUUUAAGUUUUUUAACAAAGAUUUUGUUGCCAUGGUUGGAAAACAAACAACAUUUCUGUGAAAUCUUUCAAGAUGCUGUAUUAUAAAUCAUCUACUGUUACUUUUUUAGCAUGACUUCAUGCAUUUUCAUGAAUAAACAUGAAUAAUAAUA